rnacentral:rRNA from 1 species
CUUGCUGCUUCGCUGACGAGUGGCGGACGGGUGAGUAAUGUCUGGGAAACUGCCUGAUGGAGGGGGAUAACUACUGGAAACGGUGGCUAAUACCGCAUAACGUCGCAAGACCAAAGAGGGGGACCUUCGGGCCUCUUGCCAUCAGAUGUGCCCAGAUGGGAUUAGCUUGUUGGUGAGGUAACGGCUCACCAAGGCGACGAUCCCUAGCUGGUCUGAGAGGAUGACCAGCCACACUGGAACUGAGACACGGUCCAGACUCCUACGGGAGGCAGCAGUGGGGAAUAUUGCACAAUGGGCGCAAGCCUGAUGCAGCCAUGCCGCGUGUAUGAAGAAGGCCUUCGGGUUGUAAAGUACUUUCAGCGGGGAGGAAGGUGUUGUGGUUAAUAACCGCAGCAAUUGACGUUACCCGCAGAAGAAGCACCGGCUAACUCCGUGCCAGCAGCCGCGGUAAUACGGAGGGUGCAAGCGUUAAUCGGAAUUACUGGGCGUAAAGCGCACGCAGGCGGUCUGUCAAGUCGGAUGUGAAAUCCCCGGGCUCAACCUGGGAACUGCAUUCGAAACUGGCAGGCUUGAGUCUUGUAGAGGGGGGU